UGCAAUAGAUGAUGUUGCGUGUGGUAGUC
rnacentral:piRNA from 1 species